UACGUAGGGCGCAAGCGUUGUCCGGAAUUAUUGGGCGUAAAGAGCUCGUAGGCGGUCUGUUACGUCCGCUGUGAAAACCCAGGGCUUAACCCUGGGCUUGCAGUGGAUACGGGCAGACUAGAGGCAGGUAGGGGAGAAUGGAAUUCCCGGUGUAGCGGUGAAAUGCGCAGAUAUCGGGAGGAACACCGGUGGCGAAGGCGGUUCUCUGGGCCUUACCUGACGCUGAGGAGCGAAAGCGUGGGGAGCAAACAGG
rnacentral:rRNA from 1 species